CCGUGGUGCAGCUGAUGCGUUCAGGUGUCGCAGUGUCCCGUGUGAAGACAGAAAGGGCGAAGUUUCUCUGCACUGCAGCCUGGCCGCUGCUGCCGGAACCAGCAACACAACAAUGGCGACUCCCAGUCGGGACAGCAACUUCACCAGCAGCUCCACCAGCGGUUCCAGUAACACCGGAAACACCGUCGGAUCCACGUCGCACCAUUUUCACCCGCAGACUCAGAGCAGCAGCAUGCAAGAAACCAACACCUGCUGGAGAUGUCAGAACGAAACAGGGUUUCAGAUAAGCCUGUCUGGUGUUUCCCAAAGUAAGCCCUAGACCUCGCACACAAAGCACACUGACCUUGGACUCUGUGGGUGCAUCUCAGUAGUCUAAAGUGGUUUCCUUUCCUCGCCGGCUCUCUCUGAGACGCGUUUCUGUUCUGUCACUGGAAGCCGCUGUACACUACUGACCAGCCUGUGUGGUGCUCUGGUAUUUGGGGGAGUCUGUCCGCUGUUCACUGCUGUCACAAAAUCAGCUUUGGCAGAAAGGAAAUGAAUUUGCAUCGAGGGCUCAGAGGUUCAGGGAUCUGUUUGCACUGAAGAGCUGGCUGAGGAGGGCAUGAGGAAAAGACGACUCAACACUUAAAGUCAGCACGAAGCUUCAAACCCAGCCCAUGGUGGAUCUAUUCUACAGAAACAUUCAAAUCAUAGACUGUAUAUAAGAACUAGACUGGCCUCUUGAUUUCGUAAAUCUGCAGUCCUCCUAAUGGCCAGCAGGGGUAGACUUGUCUGUUUGCUAAACUGGGUCUAUGAUAAAAUGUUCCUGCUUGUCAUUGAUUAAUUCCAUCAGUAGUAGUUUAGUAAAUGAUGGUCCCAUUUAGAGUCAGAGAGACAAGGAAGAGGGGGAGGAGUUAAGGGCGGGGCUUCCAGUGACAAGUCAUUACCAUGGCAACCAGAAUAGUGUCUUGUUUAGCGUUUAGCUGUACAAUAAAAUACUUGAGGCUUUUAUUUCUUGGUAACUAAAUUUUGUGUAAAAACGGUUUUAUGAAUCCAAAGUAAUAAAACCAUUACUGUGAAUAGUGCAGGCAGCUUGUUAGCCUUAGCAUUAGCAUUACCUAUUAACGUAGCAUUGGCAUUAGCAUUGGCUAACAGUGUUGCUAGCUAGCGACAUGCAAGUUUUAAAAACUGCUCCCUGUCAACAUUGAUAAAAGCGAAAAAUGUUCACAAACCCCAAAGCGACCACAUCGAGGCCACGCCCACUUCUUAUACACAGUCUAUGAGCCCUUUAAACGUCUACGGGUGAAGGAUGCUGUUGAAUUAAGUGUGAUUUAAGUGUUGGGUCACUUUGAUAUGUGACGGGAGCUGUUCAGCUGUGAUUACACAUUUCUUUUCUUUUUUUAAGUCUAUUGUCUUUGGUUCAGGGAUUCCCAACACGAGGAUUCUGCAGGAAGGCUCGUUUUGUGUCAUUGCAACACAAACAUCUUUGAUAAAUAUAUAAAAAUGUAUUUCCUCAAAUAAAAGUCUGGUCCUGAGUAAAGUCAGAAGCAAAAUGAAUACAUAAAAGCUGAUCUCAAAUACAGCCUGAGAAAAAAGGCUGUGUGAAAAUGGUCUUCUCGUAUCAUAACAACGGUUUAUAUAUCUAUGCUGUUCUUCCUCGUUCUUUUCCGGUUUCUCCUUUUUUGGGGAAUGACGA